rnacentral:rRNA from 1 species
GCCGCGUUAGUGYUAAGGUAGCAUAGUAAUUAGUUUUUUAAUUGGAAAAUGGAAUGAAUGGUUUCACUAAGAUAUGGUAUUUAUGCUAAUAAAUGAAAUUUUAAUUUAAGUGAAAAUACUUAAAAGAUCUUUUAAGACGAGAAGACCCUAUGAAGCUGAUAGACUAUAAAUAUAAUUAUUAUAAAUUUUUAAGUUUAUUUUUUGGGGUAAAAUUUAAUAAUUUUAUUUAAAUAAGCUUAUUUUAAUUGAUCCUUUAGGAAUUAUGAAAAAGCUCCUCUAGGGAUAACAGCAUUAUACCUAUAAGAGUUCUUAUCAGAAUAGGUGUUUGUGACCUCGAUGUUGAAUUAAAUACUUUUAUUUGUGCAGGAGCUAAUAAAAGACGGUCUGUUCGACCCUUAAUAUUUACAUGAUUUGAGUUAAAAUCGACGCAAGUCAGAUUGGUUUCA